GUCUGAGAGCUGUGACUCUUUAACUCGGAGAGUUGUGACUCAGUAAUUCAGAGAGCUGAAACUCUGUAACUCUGAAAGUGGUGACUCAGUAACUCUGAGAGCUGUGACUCAAUUCUGAGCAGACUCUGAAUGAGGUGGUUUCUUACCAGGUGAUGUAGCAGAUGUUGGCACAGAAGGUGUGGAUGGUGUAGUUGUGCUUGCCGUAGUUGAAGGUGUGGAUGGCGUAGUUGAAGGUGUGGAUGGCGUAGUUGAAGGUGUGGAUGGUGUAGUUGUAGGUGUGCCUUCCGUAGUUGAAGGUGUGGAUGGCGUAGUUGAAGGUGUGGAUGGUGUAGUUGUAGGUGUGGAUGGCGUAGUUGAAGGUGUGGAUGGCGUAGUUGUAGGUGUGGAUGGUGUAGUUGAAGGUGUGGAUGGCGUAGUUGUAGGUGUGGAUGGUGUAGUUGUGCUUGCCGUAGUUGAAGGUGUGGAUGGCGUAGUUGAAGGUGUGGAUGGCGU
ensembl:lncRNA